GAUGAACGCUGGCGGCGUGCUUAACACAUGCAAGUCGAACGAGAAGUGGAGACGGAAACCUUCGGGCGGAAGACUUUAUUUCGAGUGGCGGACGGGUGAGUAACGCGUGGGUAACCUGCCUCAUACAGGGGGAUAACAGUUGGAAACGACUGUUAAUACCGCAUAAGACCACAGCACCGCAUGGUGCGGGGGUAAAAACUCCGGUGGUAUGAGAUGGACCCGCGUUCGAUUAGCCAGUUGGCGGGGUAACGGCCCACCAAAGCGACGAUCGAUAGCCGAUCUGAGAGGAUGACCGGCCACAUUGGGACUGAGACACGGCCCAAACUCCUACGGGAGGCAGCAGUGGGGAAUAUUGCACAAUGGGGGAAACCCUGAUGCAGCGACGCCGCGUGAGUGAAGAAGUAUUUCGGUAUGUAAAGCUCUAUCAGCAGGGAAGAAAAGGACGGUACCUGAGUAAGAAGCCCCGGCUAACUACGU
rnacentral:rRNA from 1 species